rnacentral:lncRNA from 1 species
UUUCUAUUUUGGCUUAUUGGGGUUAGAUAAAUCUCAAUAUCAAAAAAGUCUUUGGACCGUUUGGUCUAGAUUCUGAAAAAAUGAUUUUUAUAAAAUUAAUAAUUUUGGUUCGAAAAAGUGAUUUUGGUUAAAAAUUGUAUAACGUUUGGCGGAGUUUAGACAAAAGUGAUUUUUUUAAAGUAAUUUUGUAAACCUAUUUAGCAAGAAAAUUUGUUGUUUGCAUAUAAUAAUAUUUUACUAAAUUUUAUUUUAAAAUAAUUUAAAAUUUUGAAUUAAAAUUUAAAAUUUUGAAUUAAAAUUUAAAAUUUGUCCAAAAUUUAAAAUUUAAAUUUUGAAUUUUUAAAGCUAAAUAUAAAUGUUCAAUUUCAAAUUUAAAAUCUAAAUUUAAAACUUUCAAAAUUUAAAUUUUAAAUUUCAAAUAUAAAAUAUAAAAUAUAAAAUUUUUAGAUUUUAAAAAUAAAAUUGUCAAACGCGUAUUUUUAAGUUCAAAACAACUUCUCAAAAAUUAAGCCAAACACCCGCCGUUAAUUUAGUGGUGGAAUGAGAGCCUCCCAAACAAGUGCUCGUGCCAUGUCAUGUGCUUGAAGGACAAUUGUUUAUAAACUCCCAAACUAAAAGAUUAUUUUAAAGAAAAUUUACAUAAACUUUGAAUUUUUGUCUUUUUUUUAUGAAACCGUAGCAAGUUAUCUGAUUUUUUUAUGUUUUAAAAUAUAAAUUUAGCUAGAAAUAUAAAAUAACUAAAUUUUGAGCAUGGAAUCUAAGUUAUAAGCUAUUAAAUUCUUAGCCAAUUGCGAUAGAUACGUGCUAUAUGCUCUGAACAUAAGGUACAUUUAUUUAGUAUCAUGCACAGUAGGUGCAACAAUUUUUAGAAUCCGUUUGGUUGGAUGUAAUUAUAAAUACAGUGUAGUUAGAGAUGCAUGCAGUUGAAAAUACAGUACUAAUUGCAACCACAUCCAUCCUAUUUGGUUGGAUGUAGUAAAAAGCCCUGCAACUAUAAAUAAUUUGUUUGAUUGCAUACGUACAGUUGAGAAAUGAUUUUUAAAAUUUUAUCAUUUUAUAUAUAUAAUGGUGAGAAUAUUUCCAAUAAUGUAAAAAAAUAUAUUUUUUUAUUUAGAAAAUAAUUAGGGAAGUCAGUUUAUCUUUUACUUAAAAUACUCUUUCCAACUGCUAUAGUUGGGCCUCCUAUAAUUUCUACUGCAACAGUUAAAAUUAAAUAUAUCAAACACCAAAUUUGUAUUUGUAUGCAGUUACUAUUGCAGUACGGUAACAACUACAUGCAGCCAAAAGGUCCUUAGAUCGUAAAUAGCUGGUGUCUCGGGAGGUUGGCUAAAAAUUCUAUAACUUAAUAAAGACAAAUUAUAAUAAAUGCUUAAAUGUUAUAAAAUAUUAUAGACAUCUUUUCAAAAUUGUUAAUAUAUCAUGUUCGCCGCUACAAAUUAAUAAAUUAUCUUAAGAGUUCCUUUUAUUGCAUUGGCUAAUUAAAGUUUUGAACUUAUUUGUUCUAUUUAUACCUAUUUAUAAAUAAUUUCUGGCAUUAUAGAGGGCUAAUAAAUUAAGUGGCAAUUUCAAAAGUGCCGCCUCAAAAGUGAUAAGAUGUUACGAAUACCCCUUCAAUUUUUCGCUAUAAAUUAAUAAAUUAUAUCAAAAACACACUUAUGUCACGCUGACUAAGAAUUUUGGACUAAUUUAUUCCUAUUUGUACCUAAUUAUAAAUAAUUGCGUGGUAAUAUGUAGAGCUAAUAAAUUAAGAAGCAAUUUUAAACGGGCCCUCAAAAGUUGUAAAAAAUUAUGAAUACUCCUUCAAAAUUGUCAAUGUCAUUUACCAUUAUAAAUUAAUGAAUUAUGUCAAAAUGCCGUCCAUCAUGUCGAGUAAGAGUUUUAGACUAAUUUGUCUCUAGUUAUACCAAAUUAUAAAUAACUGUAUGAUAUUAUGUAUCUCAUUCAAAAAUAACUGAGUUUUUGUUUAUGAUUUAGUCUAUGAUUAUCUUGUUUGACUAGUUAAAUUUAAUUUGUUUUAAUUGAAAAUCAUAUUUGUCUCAUAUUGAUCUUAAUUAAUAAUUAAUUAAAACUAAAGAUAUAUCAUACUUUUUGUUGAUCAAUUUUCUACUUCGCCUAAAUUAAUGAUUUUUUUUUGCUGACUAUUUGUGUAGUUUGCUUUGUUCGAAUUAAUUAGUUUCAAUUUAAUAUAAAUUCAACAAUAUUUGUAAUUUUCAAGAAAGAUAUUCAAGUUAAUUAAAAAGACAUAGAAAAUAGAUGAAUGGCAAUAUAAAAAUGUUACUUAAUUUGUAUAUAUAUGGAUCACUAAUUCACUAUCAAUAGGGGUAUUUAAGAUGGUUUCUCUAAUUUGAGAGAUAUUUUUUAUUUUGACACUUUAGGGUGUUUUCAACGUAAUUAAGGGGUUGGAGGAAUGAUACGUUUAAAUCAUUCCAUAAAUUUAUUUCUUAUCCAAAAUAUGGCUCAACGAUGUUGGUUUAUGAUUUAGUUUAUGAAUGUCUAUAUUAUGACCACUUUUUAAAAUUUAAUAGCAUAUGGGUCUAACGUUAAUAUUAAUUAAUUAACAAUUAAUUAAAACUACGAUAUAUAUAUUAUUUUUUUUGUGAAUCUAUUCUUUUAGUUUUUUUAAUUAAAUAUGAUUUUUUUUUAUACUAUAUGUGCAUUUUAGUUUUCUCUACUUAAUUAGUUUCAAUUUAAAUUACAUUCAAUUAAUUGUAUUUAUAAUUUUCAAGCAAAUAAUCAUUUAAGUUAAUUAAAAAGUUAUAGAUAAUAUAUGAUGGACAAAAUAAAAAUUUUAUUUAGCUUUUAGAUGGAAUGUUAUCAAUAUAGAUAUUUUUUUUUAUUUCUUUAAAUCAGAGGGGUAUUUCUAUUUGAUUAAGGAUUAGAGGAAGAGUUAUGCACAUAUAUAUAAUUCUCGUAUCCCUUUCAAAAUGCUUUCGAAUUGAGCAUGCUAAAGUUGUUUUAUUCAUUCUGUUUCCAAAUUUAACGAUUUAGAAAUAUUCAAAUCAUAUAAAAUUUUGAAUUUUUUUGUACUAUAUAAAAUAAGUUUAAUAUUUUUGAUCUAAAAUUUGUGGCGUCAUAUCAUCACUUUUUAUGAACUAUUUAUUUCCGGCCAUUGAUUUGAGUUUUUUUUAUUACUAGAUAAAUGAUAUUAAAAAAUAACAAAAUUUAUUUUUCAGAUAUUUUAAGUACUUUAGAUUAAAUCUAAUGAAGCCAAUUAUUGAUUCGGAAGUCUUAGUAUCGAAAAUAAUUUGAUAGCAUGAUGCCCACCGUGCUUCUAAAAACACACUAAUCAGACUCUCAAUAACUAAAUGGGAACGUGCUCUUUGUGUACCGGGAAAACUCCUUUCUCCUUUGGAAUUGAAGAAAAGGAACAAAAUUUGAAGUGGAAAAAGAGAAUCAAUCAUCAAUCAUACUAAUAUAAAACCCGUGCUGCACGGCAGGUAGGUAUAUAGUAUUUUAGACAAUUAAGGUAUAUAUAUAUAUUAAAAUUUUAAAAUUAAAAAAUAUAACUAAAAAAAUACAAAACAAAGCAAAACUAUAAAGUAGUUUUAUCUAUUUUAUUAAUAUUUUCUUAACUUACAUCAUUUGUAAAGUUAAAUUAUACUAGUAAUUUUGCUUAAAAUAUUAAUCAAAAUUUUAGUUUUAAUAGUUAUUUUAUUAAUAAAUUUUUUCCUAAAAGGUUAAAAUUGGAGGAGUUAUUUCAAAUUGAAAAAUAAAUGAGAGUGUCUUUUCCUUGUUAAGAUUGAUUGAAGGAAGAGAAACUAUUAUAUACAACUACUCUAUACAUCGCAACUUAUAUUAGAUAAUUAUUAUUCUAAUAUUAAAUUUUAUUUAAAUAUAUAAUAUCUAUAAAGCCUAAUAAUUUAAAUUAUAUUUGAUGAACUUUUUAAAAUUUUUAUUAAAAGAUUUUAACCAUGUAGUGUAUGUUUAAAUAUACACUUUGUGUAGAGAAUAUUUAAUAAAAUAUAUUCAUAAAUUUCAAAAAAAAGAAGAAAUAUUUGCUUGCACCUGGUGCUUACUAGUGCUUCCGCACAAAUUAAAUAUUAAAUAAUUGACAAAAUAUUUAAUAAUUAAUAUUACAAAAUAUAUAGUCUGUUUAUUGUGAAUGGCGGGCGUCCAUAAGUAUGCCAUCAUUAGCUAAAGCAUGGCUAUCUCACGAAAGUGUUUUGUUGAUGUGACUGACACCUCUCUCUCUCUCUCUCUCUCAAAACGGAGCCCGCCAUAUUUUUUUUUUUUUUUUCAAGGGUUGAGAUGGACGCCGCGACACACGCGGCGCCCUUCUGGCACCGUGCCCAAACAAAUUUGUUUGGACACAGUGCCCGGGGGGUGGGGACAUGAUAUAUAUAUACCAAACUAAGUUGGAUAGAUGUAGAGAGAGUAGAGAAGAGAAGAGUAGAGAUGGGGAGGAGACCUUGUUGUUCUAAGGAGGGACAAAAUAAAGGAGCAUGGUCGGUUUCUGAAGAUAAGAUGCUUACCGAGUACAUCAAGCUUCACGGUGAAGGAAAAUGGAGAGAUCUCCCAACAAGAGCAGGUGAGAGAUCGAGAUCAAGGUUCAGUUAAUUAAGCCAUGAUUCGCCUUAGCUUGUACUUUGCCGGCUUUUUAUAUAUUAAUUGUUUCGCUAUCGUUUCAUGAUGAUCGAUCAUGUUUCGUAACAAUUAAUAUAGGAUUAAAGCGAUGUGGGAAGAGUUGUCGCCUUCGAUGGAUGAAUUAUUUGAGACCCGGUAUCAAGAGGGGAAACAUUUCUGACGACGAAGUGGAGCUCAUCAUCAAACUCCACAAGCUCCUUGGCAACAGGUAGCUUAUAACUCAGCCUCUCUUCACAAAAUAUAUCAUUUUAAUGCAUACGUACGCUCUAUCUUCAUCAAUUGAUCUUUUGCGUAGAUGGUCCCUAAUAGCAAGGAGACUUCCAGGACGAACAGACAAUGAAAUUAAGAACUACUGGAACACAAACCUUAGCAAAAAGGCAGAGCCCCGACAGACUCUGCACAACUCGAAGAGAAGAGAUGGUAAUGUAUUGGACUCAUCGGAAGCAACUGCUACAGCCGACAAACAGUCCCAUCAAGUUAUCCGAACCAAAGCAGUGAGGUGCACCAAAGUUUAUCUCCCGACGCUACAAGAUCUAGAUGAUUACGCAAAGCCAAACAAUGAGAAUAUAGCUCCUCCGAGCAACGAGACACCAUCUUCUUUCUCGCUUCCUCCACAUGCCGGUUCGAUCGAUCUGUUCAUGGACUUCGACAUGGAAGAGCUCAUGUCGAGCUUCGCGGAUGAUGGAUUCUAUAGUCUAUGCAACAACAACGAGGACAAAGACGACGGCAACGCGAUCGGUUCUUAUGCCGGUGAGGAUUCGCUUUGGUUUAGCGAAACCAUCCAAGAAGAGUGGAGAGAAAACAAUGGCACAGAUCAUGACGAUUUUGCAUGUAUUUGAGAUUGCAAGUAAUUCAGCAUGCAGCUUCUUUACUAGACUCUUGAAAGAAAUUAUAUGAUGGCAUGGUAAAAUAAAAAAUACAGCUUGUACACUUCAAAAGAGGUGCAAAUUUUGCAUCUCCAUUCUAGUAUUUAUAAAAAAUCAAAUAAUUUUUAAUAAAAACAAAAAAAGGAUGAUGUGGUAAAUAAAAAAACUAAUAACUUUUGGAUAGAGUUGAUGAAAAAUUACAUCUACUUUAGAGUGUACCGAUAGCACUGUUUAUGAUAAAUCAGAUAAAGCCUUUUUAUUUCGAUGCAUGCAAUAAGCCUCAUCAAAUAUUUGUAAUGUCAAAUAUAAAAUUAUUACUUAUGCUUUUCUCUCAAUUGUACAUGUGACUAGUUUUGCUUGCGCAUGCAUGUUUCUCGUUAUGUAUAUACAAUUGAAAAUUUCUCUGUCCGUGGCCUUUGAAUAAUAUUUUUGUCGAAUUAAGAGGUCUGUUUGGUCUAUCUUCUGAAAAAGUGAUUUUAAAAAGUGAUUUUGACUUGGAGAAAUUAUUUUGGAAAGUUAUAAAGCGUUCGGCGGAGUUUAGAUAAAAGUGAUUUUUCUGAAAUGAUUUUGAAAAACUGUUUGGCAAAUUUUUUUUUAUAUUUGCAUAAAUUAAUAUUUUUAUUAAAUUUUAUUUUAAAAUAAAUUUAAAUCUAAAUUUAAAUUUGAAUUAAAAUUAAAAUUGUACAAUAAUUAAUUGAUAUUUUCAUUAAAAAUGUUUUAAAUUUAAAUAUUUUUAAUAAUUAUGAAUUUAAAAAUUAAAAAUAUAAAUAUAAAUCUAAAAUUAUAUAUAUUUAUGAAUUUUAAAAUAAAAAUUUUAAUAUAUAAAAAUAUAAAUUUAAAUUAAAAUUUUCAAACUUUAAAUUUAGAAUUUAAUUGAAAAUUUAAAAUCUAAAUUUAUUUAAAAUUUAAAAUUUUAAAUAUAAAAAUAUAAAUAAUUAUGAAUAAAAAUAUAAAAUAUAAAUAUUUAAAAAUAUAUUUAAUUUAAAAUUUCAAAUUUUAAAUUUAAAAUUAAAAUUUAAAAUUAAAAAUUUAAAAUUUAAAAUUUAAAUAUUUAAAAUAAUAUGAAAUUUAAAAUUAAAUUUAAAAUUUGAAUAUUUAAAAUUUUAAUCUGUCACGCCCCGAGCUCCGCUAUUUGUCGAUUCGACAUGCCGACAGACCGCCGAACGGACAGCUUUUCCUGGUACGUUCUAGGCGUCACAAUCUAUAUAAUGCAAUACAAGAGGUUCCAACCAGUAACAGUAUUAAACAUAGAUAGCAUAAUAUCAAAAAUAUAAAUGCUUAUGCUAUUACAAGCAUUCAUCUCAUCGAUUCUACAUUUACAAUAUUACAAAAUACCUUAAGUUAUCCACAAACUUAUUUAAAAUUUAAAAUUUGAAUAUUUAAAAUUUAAAAUUUAAAAUUUGAAUAUUUAAAUUUUAAAUUUUAAAUUUUAAAUAUUCAAUUAAAUUUUAAAUUAUAAUUUGAAGAUUAAAAAUUAUAAUUUAACAUUUAAAAAUUUUAAAUUUUACAUUUAAAUUUAAAAUCUAAAAUGUCAAAUUUAAAUUUUAUUUGAAUUUAAAAUUUAAAUUUAAAAUUAAAAUUUAAAAAUUUAAAAAUUUAAAAUUUAAAAUUAGAUUUGAAAUUAAAAUUAACAUUUAAAAUUUAAAAUUUAAAAUCUAUUUUUUCAAAAUUUAAAAUUUAAAAGUUGAAAUUUAAAAAUUUGAAAAUGAAUUUGAAAUUUAAAAAUUAAAAUUAAAUUUAAAUUUAAAUAUUGAAAUUAAAAUAAAAAUAAAAAUUUGAAGUUUAAAUCUAAAAUCAGAAUCAGAUUUCAAGAAGCAGUUUUUUCCUGCUUUUGAUUCUGGGGCUUUCAAAAUCAGUUUUCUGAUUCUAAAAAAUAGAAUCAGAUUUUAAAAAUGAGUUGCCAAAUGCUCUAUUGAGCCGAAAAUUACUUUUCAGCCCAAAAGUGCUUUUUAAAAGUUAGACCAAACACCCCCUAAGAUCGGUACUUCUCUAGCCCUUUUUUUGUCCAUGACACGUACUCAACGCCUUUUCAUGUAUUAAAAAUGAGGGUUUGAAAAACAAUACAUUGUUUGAAACUUGAGAGUAACUGAGUAACUAACAUUUGGAGCAUCCUACGUAAUUGAACUAAUUAAUAAGGAAAAGAAUCUGUCACUUGCUUAAUUUCCAUCGUAGGGACAAUUUCUUCAUGGAAAUUUGCUAUAGUUAGAUCGCAAAAUCGAACAAUCUGCAGGAUAUGUUAUAUGAUAAUUGUGAUUUAUUUUUUAAUUGAUUUAUUUUCUGGUUCUUUUGGUCUCAGAGAGCUUAGAUUAAUUAUUAGUCCUUUAAUGCAUCUUUUUUAAAUCCUCGUGCAUAUGUAUAUUCCACAAAUUAUGUAAUAAUCACAUAAUUAUUACAUGCAUGACAACUUUAUGUUAAUUAUUAGUAAUUGACAAUUUGAAAAGGGUCCAUAGAACUAUAAUAUUUGGUUGUUUUUUUCUUUUAUUUUUUUCUGGCAAACCAUUGAGAGCUCCUUUUCUUCGCCAUGUUUGGCCCAAAUUUACUCCUCAUCCAACAUUUGUGGUACUAUAUGCAUUCUGAGCACUCCAAUAUGGUAAUAUUAGAUCUCAAGAGAACUUGACACUCUCUGGGCUACUUUUAGAAGCGCUAAAGAAUUGAUGCUUCUAAAUCUUUGGCUCUUGAAUCCAGCAUUUUGACUGUUAAAUCAUGCACAAUAAAGGAUAUAGACCAUCAUGAAUCAUCAUUGUUGGUUUUCGAUCCAAUGAUCAAAAGCUCUUAUUCAAACUCCAUCCGAGAGCCAAAAAUUUUGUGCUGAAUUGUAUUAGAAUACUAUCAAUCAGUAGCAAAUGGGGUUUGAAUGAAAGUUCAAAUAGUAUUUUUCUAAACAAAAAACAGCAUAAAUUUAAAAUCCUACACUUUAAUUACUAUUUUGAACAGAUAUAAAAAUUUAAUAAUCAUAAUUCGACAGUACACUUUAUAUAUGUAAAUAUAUAUAGAGAGCGAGAGAAAGUUAAGCUGGAAUGUUAUCAGUAGUAAACAAGCUCUGUUAUCAUCUAGUUCUAUUUGAUGACGUUGAAUAUGAUCUAUAUAUACGACUUGAAGUAUUUAGAAACCAAAUUUCAAAUCUUUUCGACAUCAUUAGCUUAAACAUGAAAGAGUUUCGAAAUUUGUAACUUAAUGGUCGAUGUAAGACGUUUUCUCAUUUAACGGCAUAAAGAUAUCCAAAUCAAUUAAAUUUUGGUUAGAAAAUUUUUUAAAUUAUUUAGAAUAAGAUUUAUACUUUUAAUCUUGAUUACAAGACUCUUAUCGUCACUUUUUAAAAGACAUUUAUUUUCAGCCGUUUAUUUUUGUAUCCACUUGAUGGAAAAGAGAAUAAUAUCGAAAAAACAUGAAAUUUGGUUUAUAAAUGCUUCAAGUGCUAUAGAUUACGUUCAACGUUGCCGAUCAUCGAUUUGGCGACUCCAUCAUCAAAAAUAAAUGAAUGGAAACGGAACAUGUUUGCUACUGAUAGCAUUCAACUUAACUCUCUCUCUCUCUCUCUCUCUCUCUAUAUAUAUAUAUAUAGAGAGAGAGAGAGAGAGAGAGAGAGAGAGAGAGAGAGAGAGAGAGAAUUAGGCUACUAUACUAUCUAUGGUACCGGAGCUCCGGUACUACAGUCUUGUUUUCGAUCUUAGGGCGUUCAGAUUAACAAUCCACACCGUUAAAUAUGAUCUAGGGUAUAUGAAAUUCUUAGGAAUAAAAUUUUAUAGUUUUUUUCGACAUCGUUUACUUAGUAAAUAAAUUAUGUCAGAAUGGACGGUGGAAAUUGAAUAGUCUUUAAAAUUUGAGCAUAUGACUUUUAAAUUCAGGAUCAAGAAUAUUAACCUUAAUCUAGAUAGUUUAAAGUAUUUUCUAUCAAAAUUUGAAGAAAUUUAGAUUCUUCUACACCGUUAAACUACAAACUCGCCAUAGUAGCCAUUGAAAAUUGACAAUUUUGAAAUAGUUUGAUCAUAAAGUAAACUAUGUCAAAAAAACAUAAAAUUUUAUUUCUAAAAACUUUAAAUACCUUAAAUCAGUUUUAAUGGUGUGGAUAGUUGAUUUGAACAUCCUAGGAUUGAAAACGAGACUAUAGUACCGGAGCCCCGGUAAUUUAGAUAACAUAUGAGACUAGCUAGCUCUCUCUCUCUCUCUCUCUCUCUUAUAUUAUAUAUAUAUAUAUAGAAUUGAGCUAGAAUACUUUUAGAAGUACCAACCCCUUGGUGCUUCUAAGUUCUAGCCCUUGGAUCUACUCCUUAAUUAUUACUACGCCUGGAUCAAAUACUAUUCACCUACCACCACCUACCACCAUCAUCUCACCCUACACCUCUCCAUCCAAUGGUUAAAAAUACUAUUUCACCUACCAACCUACCACAUCAUCUCAACCUACACCUCUCCAUCCAACCUACACCUCUCCAACCCUUGGUGCUUUUGGGAGUAUUCUAGCUCAAUCUCUCUCUCUCUCUCAUCUCUCUCUUCCCCGUCUUCUCUCUCUUUAUAUAUAUAAUAUAUAAUAUAUAUAUAUAUAUAAUAAUAUAUAUAAUAUAUAUAUUAUAUAUAUAGAGUUGGGCUCUGCUGCUCUUAAGAGCACAGCAGCCCUGUGCUCCUAAAGCAUCAGCCAUCCAUCUAAACAGAUGGAUGCUGAGAUUGAGGAGCUUUAAGAGGUUAACCUCAGUUAGAUGGUUAACCAACCCAUAUUUUCUCUUCCUUUUUUGUUUUGUCUUUUUUUUUUCUUUUCCUUUUUUUUUUCUCUCUCGCCCGAGGGGAAGGUCACGGCGGGCCGGGAGGGGGGAGUGCUGCAGAGAUGGGGGGCGGUCGCGCGGAGGGGAAGGUCGCGCCGGGGGGGGGGGGGGAGGGCGGUCGCCGCGGGGGGGGGGGGGGUGGGAAGGUCGCGCGAGGGGGGGGUCGCCCGAGGGGAAAGUCGCGCGGUGGGUCGCGCGGCGGGGGUUGGGGGUGCGGGCGCGGCUGUGUUUGAGGAGGAGGUGCUUACCACUUCCGGCGCGCUCAAAGUUCGAGGAGCUCCGCGAUUCAACAGAGGAGAGGGAGAGGGAGAGAGUUGGGGAAGAAGAGGAGAUGAAGCAUGUAGAGAGAUGGAGUUGGAGAACCUGGGAAGAAGACAGGAGAAAAGGAGAGAGAAAAAGAGAAAAGAAAAAAAAGACAAAAACAAAAAGAAGGAGAAGAGAAAAUGUGGGUUGGUUAACCAUCUAACUGAGUUAAUCUUUUAAAAGCUCCUUCAAUCUCAACCAUCCAUCUAUUUAGAUGGAUGGCUGAUGCUUUAGGAGCACAGGCUGCUGUGCUCUUAAGAGCACGCAGCCAACUCUAUAUAUAUAUAUAUAUAAUAUAUAUAUGGAAUGUGUAUGAAGAGUUUUUUUUUCAAAAAGGUACUUAGUGUAAAUUAUAGGAAGGGGUGUAAAAUAAGCGGGCUGUCUGUGGCCCGCCCUGCCCAGCACGGCCACUUUAGCACCCAGGCCGGCUAGGCCGAGCCGGCUCUUCGGGCCGUACUGGCCACCUAUCUGAGGCCGCGACGGCUCGCACGGCACGGCCCGAAACGGGCCUGGGCCGUGCCGGGCCGAGGGAGGCUGACGCCCGGCAUGGCACGGCACGCUUAGCCGUGCCAGCCAGGCCAGCACGGCCCGAAACCCAGGCCCAAGGUCUGCAUAGCAGACCUUGGGAGAGUGAUUUUUGUCCAAUAGACUAAAGCAAGUUUGGUCCAUUUGACCGAAAAUCCAUCUCACUCUUAAAAAAAAAAAAAAAUGCAAUAUAUUAUAUAUAUAUAUAUAUAUAUAUAUAUAUAUAUAUAUAUAUAUAAUAUAUAUUAUAUAUAAUAUAUAUAUAUUAUAUAAAAUUUUAUUUUUAAAUAUAUAUUCGUUUUUAUUAUAUAUAAUAUUUUAUUUUUAUAUAAAAAUAUUAUUAUAUAAUAUUUUAUUUAUAAAUUUGUAAUUAUUUAUUAAUAUUUCUAAAUAUAUAACUCUUCUAUAUUAUUAAUAUAUGUUUAUUAUAAUUUUAUAUAUAUUUAAUCUAUAUAUAAAAAUUAUAAUAAUAAUAUACAUAGCAUAUUAAUUAUUAUAUUUUUAUUAUAUAGCCGAAUUUUUUAUCCGAAAUUUUUAAUUGGUGAACGUAUAAUAUCCUUAUAAAUCACGUAAUCGAAUAAUUACUAAAUCCGUUUUUUAGCCGUAUUUUUCAACGAAUUUAAAAAUUAAAAGACGAAUUUUAUCCGAAUUAUACCCGUACCGAAUUUUUGUCGAAUCCGAAUUAACUAACAGUCCAUUCAUACUAGUUAAGUCCGGCUUAGGUGAAGACACUACAACAAAAACGGUCUAUAGCGACACUUUUAAGUGUAGGUACAUAUCAAAAAAGUGCUGCUAGCUAAAAUUACCGACACUUUUAAAACGUGUUGCUAUAUGUGGGGUCGCUAGGUAUAUAGUGACAGUUAAAGAGUGUCUCUAUAACCUAAAAGAGUGCUGUUAAUUUACCAACAACUUAUUUAAGCAUUUAGCAACCGCCGAAACUCUAUCUCGUUGGCUGCGGUGGCGGAGGAGGACGACAGGAAUGACUCUUCGUCUAGAAUUUCAGUAGAUUGAGUGAAGAGAGAAGAAAAUAUGGUAAUCGAUUUUUCUUUUUUUUUCUUUUCUGUUUGUAAUCGGGUCAAAUGGACUGGGUGUGGUGGGUUGAGUAGAGUAAUCUUUUAUUUUUGGUUGGAUUGGGUUUUAUAUUUAGACAUUAGUAGAUGUUUUUUUAAGUUUUAGCAUAAAUGGGACACUUACUAAAAAGUGUCCCAAACAUGUGUCCUAACCUAAUUCUGUUGUAAUGAGAAAACUUUAACAACCUACUCCACAAAGACUUCAUUUAAAUAGUGAAUCUUAGUUUUCUUUUGCCUUCAUUGCUAUUCACAGCUUGUUUGGUUUUGAAUGCCAAUUAACACCAUUGGGAAAAAUGAUUGAGGCCGAAAAAAUAUAAAGAGACUGCAGAAUGUAUAUAUCUUAAUCGACUAAUUACGAUAUGCGAAACAAACGAAAUAACUUUCUAUUGUACUUUUUCAUCCCACGUAAUACAAUUUGCAUAUAAUUCCCAACAGAGCCUGCACAAUAUAUCUUCUGGCCAAUGUAGUGUAGUACUCCGGCCCAGAAUUAGUCAAUGCGCCUAUUUGGCGCAUGACCACAUAAAAAGGUCUUUAUGAGGAAGCUUCUUAAAGGGACCUUUCUCAAUAGACUUAAUUGCAUUAUACUACACUGUAAUUUAUAAUUUUUUAAAAUUUUCUACAUUAUGCUCUUCUUUUUCUUUUUUUUUUUCAAACACAACAUUCAACCUUUUUUUUUGUUUUUAAACUCCUCCACUAUAAUAAGUAAUAAAUUAUAAUUUUAAAUAAAAACUAUUAAAAAAUAUUGAUUGAAAAUGGCUGACAAAUUAUAAUUUUAAUUCAUUUUAUAUUUUUUUCUAUCAUCUAAUCUAUAUUUCUUAAUAAAGUUUCUGGAUUUUGUCUAAAAUAAUAGAUUUAACAAUUAUAAUGUAGAUUUAUUAAUAUUAUUAAUGGUAAUAUAGAGAUUAGUAAGAAAAAAUAGUUUAGUAAUGUUCAUGAGAAAAGAAAAUAGUACAAGAUAGAAAAAAAAAUUAAAAUAUAGUGUAGAGAUUAAUAAUAAUAAUAAUAAUAAUAAUAAUAAUAAUAAUAGCAUUGUAUAUUUUAAAGGGCUUUUCUUUGCAUUUAGCUCUCUUGGAAAAAAAAAUUUUACAAAUAGCCCUACAAAAUUUAUAUUUGCAAGAUUAGUCAUAUCCCCGCCACGCAAAUACCACGCAAGCGCCAGGUGAGCGUGCUAGAUGGUGUAGGUUAAGUUGAACACGGUGGAUCAUUGAAAUAUAGGUUGUAUAAGGUGUAUAAGUAUAUUGAACAUAAUGAAUGGUUAACCGUUUUUAACUUAACGUUACUAUCCAGCACGCUCGUGUGGCGCUUGCGUAGUGGGAAUAGGUCUAAUUUUGCAAAUAUAAAUAUUGUGAAACUAUUUGUGAAAAAAAAAAAAUUGAGAGGGCAAAACGAAAAAAAGUCCUAAAAAAAUAUAGUAUGAACAACAAAAAAUAUAUAAAAUAUAGUGAGUAAAAUGUAAUUAAGCCUUCUCAAAGGGCCGCGCAGUGUGAUCUGCAACUGCUCAGCCCAAUAGGCCCGUUUUCUCUCUCCGGCCCAAAAUCUCAUCCAACCGUCCGUUUGAGAUGAAACCUUUCUACACCGUCGGAUCUCCAAUCUCCAAAUCGCCAUUUAAAAGUUACCUCCUCUGUCCCUUCGCUCUCCUCCUCCCACAUAAUCUUUCUAGGGUUUUUCCCAAGAGCCCUUUUUUGCAACAACUGCGGCGGAUCGAUCCACCGCGACGACCAAAAAUGGGAACCCUAGAUCGCAAAAAGAAGCGAUAGGUGAUUCAUCUCCCAAUCAGUUUGCAUCUUUUUUCUUUUUUUUUUUUUGGAAUCCAAACCCCUUUUAUUCGCUUCUUCUUUAGUUAUUUUUGAUCGGUUUGUACCCUUUUACCAAGAUCAUAUUUUGGGAGGUCACAAGAUCAUUCUAUAUUAGCUACUUGGAUUUAUUUGAGUAAAAGGUAGAAUUUUGAUACAUUAAAAAGUUUGGCCCUUUAACUUUGACUUGAGUUAUUUCAGAAAAAAAAAUAUAUAUAGAUAAAAAUUAUGAGUAAAUGUGUUUUUUUUUUUUUUGAUCUAUUGUAAUUACAACUGCAAUGUUUUGGUCUCAGAUUUGUAGUCUCCGCAACUUAAACAGCGGCUAAAAAUUGAAUUGUUUUGUUUCUGGUUUCAGAAUUUCGGUCUGAAACCUCGAAACAUGUUUGUAAUGCUACAUUUCCCAACUUGUUGUUUUGGGAGCUUUGUCAUCUAUAAAGCAAAUAGGUUACUCAGUGCCGAAUUUGUGUCGGAAGAUGACUAUAUUUACAUCGCCGUAAUUGCUAAUGUUGUUAUGAAUUAAGUCCGAUUUCACGACGAAACAGCCGUUGCGGUGACAUGCUUUUCAAUUACUCGGAGUGUUGCGUAAACAGAGAUAGAUAAUUGCGAAUAUUACUGUGAAUUACAUUCGAUCUCGUCGAAGAUAGCCGGUUGUGGCAACAUGCUUUUUUAUUUUAGUUGUAAUGAUCAGUGCCUAUCAUUAUUUGUGCCGAGUAUGAAAUAUGCUGAGGCGCUCAUUUAAGAUGCUUGUUUUAAUUCAUGUUCUUUAUAAAUUCCUGAUUUUUGUUCCUUGUUUACUGAUUGCAAUUUCUCUAGCAGAUAUUAUAAUUAUUAUUCUCUUUUUUUUUGUCUGUGUUUUUGUGUGCGCGCAUGCGUGCAUGCAUGCAUGGAUGCAUGCCUCUGUAUGUGCGCACGCACGCAUGUGUGUGCAUGUGUGCACGUGCGGGCGCACGCACAUGUGUGUAUAUGUGCGUGCGCGCAUGCGUGCGCGCAUGAGUGCCUCUGUGCAUGCCUAUCUGUGUGUGUUUGUGGGUGCGUGCGUGCAUGCAUGCAUGCCUCUGUGCAUGCGUGUGUCGCAUGCGCGCAUGCAUGCGUGCCUCUGCGUGCGUGUGCGCCUCUGUGUGUGCAUGUGCAAGUGAGAGAUAGGUGCGUGUAUGUGUGCCUCUGUGCAUGCCUCUACGUGAACUGCACUAGUUUUGUUUUUUGUCUCGUAAGCUGAAGUUCACAUUUUGAACUUGCCUAUCAUCUUUCUAUCUGAGCACUGUUUUUAUCCUCCUUGCAAUUCUUUACCACUGCUGUGGGGUGCUUUGCUGAUGCUCAAUAAUGAAAUACGGAGUUUGUCAGGCUUCUAGCAUCUACUGUAUAUGCUAGAAGUUUGGAAUAUGCUCCGACACUUUCACUAAUUAUUUUCGACCUCUCAACUUCUGAUUUAGUGGACCAUCUUUUCAAUGUUGCUCUCAACUGAAAUGUUUUAUCUUUUCUUUCCGGGGAGAAGACUUCCUAGAUGAUGCAUUGUUGCUCCAAUUCUUUUAUACGAUUCUCCAUCAAAUAUUCUGUCUCAUAGUAUUCUAGUCGGACGCUAAUCUUUGAAAGUCAUUGGAGCUCUGUGUGCAUGUCCGUGGCAUUGUUUUAAUCUAACCGAGUUCUAAGCUGUUGCGGGCUCCCUUUUUAUGUGUUUUCGGGAGUUGAGCUAGAAUACUCUCGAUAGUAAACGGAGCGUUUUACUAUCGAGUUGUUUUCGAUGAUAAAGCUUCCAAAUUGACGAUCGGCUCCGUUAAAUAUGAUCUAAACCAUUUAAACUACCUAGAAAUCAAAAUUCAUGCACUUUCGAUAUUGUUCUUUUAUCCAUCUAGUGAACAGAAAAUGAAUGGUUGAAAAUGAAUAUUUUUUAAAAAAUGAUGAUAGAAGUCUUGUAAUCAAGAUCAAGAGUAUAGAUCUUGUUUUAAAUAGUUUAAAGAAUUUUCUAACAAAAAUUCAAUUGAUUUGGAUAUCUUUACACCGUUAAACGAGAAAACGUCUCUUAUCGACCAUUAAAAUUACAAAUUUUGAAACCCCUUGAUCAUUAGGCAAAUGAUGUCGAAUAGAUUUGAAAUUUGAUUUCUAAACACUUUAAGUGGUAUAGAUCAUGUUCAACGGAGCCGAUCGUCAAUUUGGAAGCUCUAUUAUCGAAAACAACUCGAUAGUAAAAUGCCCCGUUUACUAUCGAGAGUAUUCUACCUCAACUCGUGUUUUCGGUAUCGACUUGUUAAGUUCAAGUAGACUGUCUCAGAGCUUCAUAUAUCAUCUGUACAAUCAUUCUGACUCGAUGGAACCAGAUACUAUGUGAAAAAGUAAUCCCUCGUGCAGCGCACAUCUCGUCUGUGUUAGUAACCAUUGAUCUUACUGUUGAUGAAUCACCAUAAAUACGCAUGAAAAUCACAUGGCAGAUGAUAUUUUUCACAGGGCAGUUUUGUGUAUCUACUGUUUACAUUGUUCGAUCUCGGUAUUAAAAGGCAACCUUUUUAACUAAUUUACUCAUGCCACUGCAGCAGGGGAGCUUUGUGGAGAAGCUGUGAGAGGAAGAGAUGCAUUGAGUGGUGGGAAGCUGUUUAGCAGGCUCAGACCCAGCAAAACAAGCUAUAACUCUCCAGGCCCAAAAGCGGAUAGGCGCCGUGGCAUGUCGAGUUAAGAAACCGGGGCCGACACAACUGUCUCUCACUGAUAUACCCAAAAGGAUCGGAUCGAGAUUGCGGCCCUUCGGUCAGGCCCAAGUUCGAUCUUAUAUGUGGUCCAGCAGUUCGGCGAACUGGGAUCGUUUCGGCUUCUCAGAUAGCUUGAUACAACCUGAGGCCAUUUUCUUAAUAUAAUGUUAUGUGAGUAGAGUUGUUUGAGAAUGAUUUUAUCCGAUGAAGGCUGCAAUGAUAAAAUAAUGUGUGGCUUUACCUAUUUCUUUUGUUAUUAAACCAUCUGGACAUUGAUUUGUACAUGAUCUCAAAAUUACAAAAAUAAAAUAAAAUUAUACACUCUAGACUUCAAAAUUGAUAUAAAAUAAUUGGAAAGAAAAGAACCUAAAAAAGACUAACAAUUUGCGAAAAUGAAUUCAAGUUAGUUCGUUUAGAAUUUCUUUUUCUUUGUUUCAACUAAGUUGCAGUGCUACUGAAUUUUCUAAAUUACUGAUGGGAAAAGAAAUUUCAGUUUGAAUACAUUUAUUUUAUUUUAUCAUUUGUUGUAUAGUAAAUCAAAAAAAAGUUAUAAUUAAUGUAAGAAGAGGCAUUAUAGCAAUAUUAAUUAAAUAUUACUAAUAACAAGCGAAUUAUUAUCAAUUCCGAUUUUAACUUAUGGCAAUUGAAUGAAAGUCAUUUGUAUUAUAGGAAAUCCCACCUAAUCCAUUUGAGAAAAUUAUAUUUUUUUUUCAAAGUUAGGAGGAUGGAAACGCCAAAAAUAGGGAAAAAAAAUGUAUAAAAUUUAUUUGAACUGUAGUCAUUUUGAAUUUACUAUUUGACUAGUAAAAUUUUAAUUUUACUAUCUAUUUUUUUAUUUAUUUAAUUUGAGGUAGUUAAUGACAUUUUUGACUUCAAAAUUUAAACUAUUAUUUUACUUUAAUAAAUUUAUAGUUGUUAGAAUUGUAUAAAAUAUACUAACUAAACAUAUAAAGAUAGACGACACAAUUAAAUUUUGAAGUCAAAAUGCUAUUAACUGAGUCAAAUAAAAUAAAUUGAAAGGUAAGAUAGUAAAAAUCAAAAUUUUUGAAAAGUUGGGUAAUCGAUUUAAAAUGAUCUAUAAUUCAGAUGGGUUCUAUAUGUUUUUACCAUAAAGAUUUUAUAAGAAACCCUAGACCCUUGUCUCAAAUAUUCUGGGAUUCACUUUUCUACAUUUUUAAGUAUCUCUAGACCCUGAUUCAUUAUGUUGGAAAAUAAAAAAAACAAAAUAUUCUUAAACCCUAAACCAUAAUUAAUCUCUCAUGCAUUGUGUAUGUGGGUUGUUAGCUUUUGUGCCGAGAUUUCUUUUUGCACCCUGCUAGAAUUUUAAAUUUACUUCCUAUAAUUACCUGUAACUUUUGUAAAGGUUUACAGGUGUUUACUGCUUGGCUUGACUCGGAUCAACAGAAGAUCCAAAUAAGGAAAGCAAUUAAAAAAAAUAUACUAAAAUUUAGAUCUACAAACAAAAUCCAAGAUAUAUAUUGCACUAGAUUUUAGGUUAAUAAUGUUGGAUACAAAUAUUAAAAGCAUGGUUUUUAAUGGCCUAAGUUUUUAGUGGAAAAACGGUUGUUCACAUCGUUAAACAUAAUAUCGAUAUAGAAAAAAUUAUGACACGGUUGAACAUGGUAUCAAUAUAGAAAAAAUUAUGUUUGAAUCGCACCAAAAUAUCUCAAGUCCAAACGUAAAGUGUGCGAGAAUUUUGAAUAUAAAUAUUAAAAAUACUAUCCAUGAUUAGUUUAGUAAUCGAUUUGUCGAUUUGUCGAGUCAAUCGGUGUACAUAGUUUUACUCAUAAUUAUCUACAAUGAGCUUCUAUACAGCCUCAAGGGAGUUAGUGUUUGCGUCUUUAAUUAGUUUUACUCAUAAUUAUUUUUCUAUACAGCCUCAAGGGUAGGCUUCUAUACAGCCUCAAGGGAGUUAGUUUUACUCAUAAUUAUUUUUCUGUCUCUUUUUCUUUCGUUCCUCGAGUUUCAUCCCAAGAAGCUGUAGAGCAAAUUUGAAUGACAAAAAAAACGUGUUGUUUUUCUUUUUUUUUCCUUCUUUUUUAAGUUUAGCUAGACUCUUCUUUAUGUGCAUGUGUGCAUCAUUACCCAGCCCCCAUGAAACUACACCACCCAAAAAAAAAAAAAAAAAAAAAAAAAAAAGUUCUAUUAUUUCUCCUUGUCAAAAGUGCUUUCCCAAAACGCGACAGGGCUUCGACACAAAUGGAGAAAGGUUGAUCAUUAAAGAUCUCUAAGCACCAACUCCCAUAACUAAUCCCAUAAUCACCACCACACUACUCAUAUUGCCCAUACCUACUUGUAAUUAUCAUUCAUCAAUGUUAUCAUUCACCACCCCCCUCCCCAAAAACAAAAGUAAUUAUUAUCAUCAAUAUCAAUAUUGUGGCAUUAAUCCUCUCCACUUUGAGAAAAAGUAAUCUAUCAGCUUCUCUAUAUUCACAGCUCACCUUUGUUCUAUAAAAUCAUAAGCUAUAUAUCAGAGAGAAAAUUAAAUAACGGAGUUUAGCGGGACUAAGACUCAGAACUUUCUACUCUAAUAUGAUAUUAAAUUAUUUGAACACUAGCUUUUAGUUUCAUGCAAAAAUAGUUGUAUUCAAUCAAAGGUACAAGAAUAUGAUUUUUCUUUAACAUUAUUUUAACACGAAACUAUAUACAUCAUAUAAUUCUUAAUUACGACAUUAUAACAACUUAUAACGGACCCCAAAAUUUGAAACUAUAUGAGAUGAUAAAAGAUCCAAUCGAUGAUAGUAUUAUAAUUUAAAGUGGGAAUGAUAUACGAAAGGAAUAUUGUUCUCAUACUUUAUGUAACAUAAAAAUAUUGAAUUAGAUGCUGUUCUUAUAUAGAAUAACUGUUAUACGGAAGAUCUCUUUAAUUAAAAAAAAAUAUUAUCAUCAUUUAUAAAGCUUAUUAGGAAUGAUUACGAAAAAACAAAUCUGAUGUGGCAUACAAUUGAAGUGGAUAAUGAGUCAUGUGUCCCUUCCAACAGCUUAAGUUCUCUUGGAGCUUGACUUGAAGUUGAAAGUGAGUAGGAGAGGAAAAAGGGGUUCAAGGAAAAAGAUUUGACCUUGAGGAGUUCAUGCUUGGUAUAUAUUAUUAAAAGCUUAUACUUAUGUUAAAUGGUUUGAGUGGCCAAGUGAUCAUUUCCCCCCCCCUCCGCCCCCCUUUUGGGGGUUUAAUUUUAAAUAAAAACAAGGGGGAAGAUCAGGGAAGUUGCUUCUGUGAUGGCUUGCUCAACUCCCUAUUUUGCCCUUCAAUGAAUCUUCUCUUUUUUCCCUUUUCUUAUGGUCCAUUAAUUUAAUGCAGGACAAAAGUAUAGUGAUAUGUUCUUGUGUUUUUCUAUGGGAGCGUAUAGAAACAUCAUAUUUGAUUUAGUUGGAUCAAUGUGAUUAUCUCGACAUGUUAUUAUUGUUUUCUAUCGAGCGCAUUAAAUUUUCUCUUGGUUUCAAAUUAAUAAAAUCGUAAAAUCAUAAUUACGGGCAUGCACAUGAUCAUCAUGGUUAUAUAUUGGGCUUUGAGAACAAUAUAUAGUGGGUAGUAUAAUAUGAGUUUUGAUUUGGGUGCCCUUUAAGAGUAGUAAAAUAACUAUGAAUGAAGUGUUCAAUUGACGCGUGCUAAGUACGAUUUCGGAAUCUCGUGUGAUCAAUAUAUAUAUAUAUAUAUAUAUAUAUAUAUCGUUGAGCUAGAAUAAUCUCAAAAGUACCAAGGGGUUGGUGCUUUUGAGUUUUUAGCCAUUGGAUGAUGUAGGGUUGAGAUGAUUAUAGUAGGUAGUGCUAGGUGGAAUAGUGUUUGAUCCAAAAGCUAUUAGUGAAGGAGUAGAUCCAAUGGCUAGAAACCUAGAAGCACAAGGGGUUGGUGCUUCUAAAAGUAUUCUAGGUCAAUUNUUGUGGGCAAAGUUGCAGAAUGGUAUCAGCCAUACACCUUAUGUUUUUCUCCGACAGGUCGAAUUUCCCAUAAGACUGCAUAAGCAAAAGAUUGGUCUUUUUUUUUGUUGGUUUAGCUUUUUAGAAAUUCACUAUACAAUUUAUUGACAUACUUAUGGCACUUUCCAUUUUUAGUAUUAGUAAAGUUUUGCAUUCAACUAAGCAAAAGAUAGUUUCAGAAACUAUGCUUUUGUAUUAAACUGAAAGCAUCUUUACAUGUCUUAUGAUUUUAGUGGGCUAUGUGUCAUUUUAGUGUUCUGCUAGUAUUUAUAAUUGUUUCGAGAAGUAAUUUAAUGCAAGAAGUUAUUUAAAUUUUUCUGAUUUCAUUCUCUUUAUUUGGUGUAGAUUCUGAGUAAAAUAUAGAAUGAUUAGGAAGUUGGAUUCUCUUGACGUCUAAUUCAUUGUUUUGAUAGGAAUUCUCUGGAGUAUCUAAACAGGCUAUCUCAACAGGUUGAAUCCACAGUUAUGGAGAAGUGCUUUCGAUCCAUCACUGAUCCAAGAAGUGGCAUUAACUUGAUUCAUAAUGUUGUAUACAAAUGUGGGUUAGCUUUGGCUAAGCUUUUCCUUUUAGAAAACAUGUUUACCAAUGUGUUAGUAGGAAGUGCUCAGUUUAUAGAAUAGUUCUUUUGGAUAUUUAAUAAGCUUUUAUAAAUCGUACUUUUUUUUAUUGUAGAUCUAAUAUCCAUCUGCUAAAACACUCUGCCUUAUUAAGAUUUUCUUUGUUUUUUACUGUUAUUAUUAUGCUCAAGUUUUUCUCUAUGUCACUAUGCUUAAGUUUUUUUUAGGGUGGUUUUCGUAUUCAUAAGUUAAGAAUUUUUAAUAAUUAUGAUGUUCAUCCUCAUGUGUUGUUUGUGGAUUUAGUCUUUCUUAUCUACUUUGAUUAUUACUUAAUUAUCUUUGUUAUCUUUAUUUGCUUUUCAAAAUUGGUUUUGGUAAUUUAUUUUGCUUUAGGAAUUCAAGUGGCUUCCAAUUUAGUUAUCGAGAAUUAUUUUUUCUUUCACCCCUUUUGAUUGCUUUUUUGAUGUUUAUAUGAAUGUAGGUAAGAUCUACUACUCUGGACUCAUGGCUACCGAACAAGGACGCAUUUAUUCAAUGUAUUUAUUUGACCUUUGAACUUGAUAAUUUGCUCUAAGAAAUAUCAAUUACUCAAAAGAUCUUUGUGUCAUUAUCUGUCACUUCUUUUUAUCACGUCUAAAGUAACUUCUCUUCAUUGUUUGCUAGAUGCAGAGUGCUUUGCUACUAUUGAUUUUUGUACUACUGAAGUCGUAUAUUUUUGGGACAGUCAGUUAGUAAUAUUUUUUAACAAACUUUUCCUAUUAAUUUUAUUUUAUUACUUCAUUCUUUACUGACUAUUGCUUUUUCUUUGAGCCAACUCUUACAGGUUUUUUUUCAACUUCAACAAUUCUAAAUUUCAUUGUAUUUAUAGCUGCUUCUACUUUUAUUUUUUUGUUAUUCAAAAUUUUUUAAUUCUUCUUUUGUAUUUACCUUUUCGUCUUUCUUUAGCUUCUUUUAUAAGAUCUCAAAUAUUUUUUCAGAUUAUUUAUGCAUUAAAUUUUUUUCUCUUAUAGUUUUAUUUUUGUUUCUUUUUGUUUGUUCUCUAUGUUGAAAGUAUGAUAUUUAUAAACACAGUAACGAAAAUAAUCAAAUAUUAUAAUUUAAAAAGAAGGAAGAAAAAAAUUUAAUGCAUAAAUAAUCUGAAAAAAUAUUUGAGAUCUUGUAAAAGAAGCUAAAGAAAGAUAAAAUAGUAAAUGCAUAAAAAAAUUAAAAAAUUUUAAAUAACAAAUAAAUAAAAGUAGAAACAGCUAAAACAACAGUAGUAGGAGCAGCUAUAGAUACAAUGAAAUUUAGAAUUAUAGAAGUUGAAAAAAAACUUGCAAAAGUUGGCCCAAAGAAAAACUAAUAGUCAGUAAAAAAUAAAGUAAAUAAUGAAAUAGGAUUAAUAAAAAAAGUAUUAAAAAAUGUUACUAACCGACUAUUUCAAAAAUAUAUGAGUGCAAUAAUACAAAAAAUAAUAGUAGUAAAAUAAAAACACAAUAUUCUUUUGCAACCCAAGUAUGCGGUAGAAGAAAUAAUAGCAACAACAGAUCAAGUGGAGCAGAAACUUACAAAAUUGAUUAGAAUAUAUAGGUUGCAGAAUUUAUAGUCAAAAAAAUAAUUUUAAACAGAAAUAGUAAAAUAAUAUCAUCACAAUAAUUGAAAAAAUAAAAUAUUCAACAAACAAAUGAAAAAAAUAAUAUCAGCAGAGAAAUAGAGAUUUUUAUCGCAAAUAAAAAUUUUAUAGAGCCAUAUUAUAUAGGCAAAAAAAAAUCGCAUUCAAUGUAAAAUGUCCCUUCGGAUUCAAAAAAUACAAAUAUUCGAGAAGUCGAAGAGAGUGUAGAGAAUGAAUUCGAACCAUUUUUGCAACCAGAGGGGGAUUAAUCGGCAGGAACCAAGCAUUGCUAACAAAGAACGCGCGACGGAAAGAAUAACCGACAAUGAACUUGGUCCAAUUUUCUGUCUAAAGAAGACGCAUUAGAAGUUAGAGAGACAUCUAGGAAGGUGAGCGGCAUCUAAGGAGGUAAUUUAGUAUGACAAAGUCCCACAAAAAUACAAAAUUAAGCUAAUAUUGCCAUGUGGACAAAAGGGUAAGGAUUUUCAUAGGAGUUUAUAGAUAUGAAGUAAUUAGAUUUCGAACUUAAAACUUCGAGUAUCAAGUAUCAAGCUCUUUCCACUUUUAUUGGGGAGGGUUGAUAUGUGGUUCAAAAAUUACACUUAACUAUUCUACAAUUUAGUCCAUUCUUAUUUUGCUAUCCUAUAAUUUAAAAAUUUACAUCUAAUUGUUCUAUAGUUUUUAAAAAAACUUGAUUUCCUAUCUUAUCUAAUGGUAGAUUUUUUUUUUGAUAAAAAUAAAUAUAAAAAUCAUAAGAUAGUUAAGUAUAUUUUUGGAAAAACUUCAAAAAAACUCCGUAUGGUUUCGCACGUUUUCACUUUAGUACCCUAUGAUUUAAAGUGUAUUAAGUUAGUACCCUAUGGUUUCGCACUUUUUCAAUUUAGUACCUUAUGGUUUAAAGUGUAUCAAGUUAGUACUCUGUGAUUUUAUUUUUGUAUCAAGUUAGGCUUAGUUUGGUAUUGAGGCGGAUCUAACGCUAUUAGAUAGAAUGGAGUUGAGAAAAAGCAUAUAGGGAUAUGCUUCUGCUUUUUUCGAUAGGACCGCAGAAAAUAUAUCGUAACCGACUAACUGCAAUAUGCGAAACGCAAUAUUACGUACGGAAACAAACAUGAUUUUUUUUUUAUCGUCGUUUCACACCGCCCGGAACACAAUCUCCCCGCAAUCCCAAACGAAGCCUUAGUACCAUGUGGUUUCAUUUUUCUCUUUUUAUUAUCCAUUCGGGAUAUAUUUUUCGUUAAAUUAACUAAAGGGUACUAAAAUGAAUAUCCGAUAAACCUAGAUAAGGUAUCUGAAGUUUUUUGUAUAUAAUUUAACGAAAUAUUAAACCACAGGGUACUAAAGUGAGAAAGUGCAAAACCACAAACUUUAAACCACAGGAUACUAAAAUGAGAAAGUGCGAAAACCACACGAUACUAAUUUGGUACAUUUUAAAUUAUAGGAUACUAAAAUAAGAAAGUGCGAAAUCAGGGUAUUUAAAGUUUUCCCUGUAUUUUUUUGAACUACAGUGGGUAAAAGAGAAAAUAAACUAAAUGGUAGGAAGAAAGUUAGGGUUGAUUUCUUUCACGUCCUUCCAAAAAGUUGCAAGUCAAAGACAAUCGUUGUUAAAAGAGGGCUCAAAUAAAAUUUCAAAUCAAUUUUAUUAUGCCAAAUAACAUAGUAAAAUAUUUAAUAAAAAAUAAUCUAAUUAUUCCAUAUUAAAAUAUUAUUUAAAAAUCCGUUAUUUUAAAUUUUGUACCGUACAAAAAAUUCAAUUACAUAUUAUUAUCCACAUACAAAAUAUAGAUUUCAAAAAUGCUACGCCUGCUUAUAUAUAUAUAAUCGGGAUGAAAUAUUUGUAACCAGCUAAAAGGGUUAUCAGCAAAAAUUUUAAGAAAAACUUUAAAUAUUAUCACUGUAAUUUCACAUUUUUUUACUUUAGUAUUCCAUAGUUUAAAAUAUAUUAUUUUUAUAUCAAACAAUUUUAUUUUUUUACUGAUAAAGUUAAAACUAUAAUUAAAGUACUAAGGUGAAAAUUUGAUAAGCCAUAUAAUACUAAAAUGAAUAUUUGAUAAAACAUAAGUAGAGUACCUGAGACGGUGAUAUUAUUUUACGUGGGGGGCGCAAUUGCAUCGGAAUGUACAGAAUCACUCAAUUUAGAUACUGCGUCGGGGCAAAACGGUAAAUGCAGGUGAUGAUGAGCGUGAGCAACAUUUGCGCGCGUGGAGGGGGAAGAGGACAAGGUGGUGGACUCUACACACACACACUCACUCACUCUCUCUCUCUCUCUCUCUCUCUCUCUCUCUCUACACACACACGUAGUGGGCUCAUCGCAUGCUCGGCAACUGAAACAGGCACGUGCGGGGCCCACCGCUGAGUUCCCGCGAGAGGAUACACACCCCUCGCCCUUUAUCUCUACUCAUUUUGUUGCAGUAUUCAUUUUUAAUAAAUUAAUUAUAUACUGGCCGCUACAAAUAUAAUAAAUUAUAAAUAUAUUUUGAUCAAUUUGUAUAAAAAAUUUGCUAGUUUUGUAUUUUUUAAAAGUAGGCCAUUUUUUUCGAUUUUACAGAUUCGAACCGGAUUUUUAGUAAAUCGAUAAAAGUAUUCUUUUUUUUUUUUUUUCUCUCCUUUUUUUUCUCGCGUUCUUUUUUUUUCUCGCCGAAGAAAGAGACGGGGGCGAAGGCGGAAACGGCUUCCAUCGUCUCUUCACCUCACGCCCUCACCCCCACCCUUGCCCGCGCACCCCUCGCCCUACUCGCAUCCGACCCUGCCGAAGCCGCGCUGCGACCCUCUUUUUUUUUUCUCUCUAUCCGAUCCUCCUCCACCUUCUCCGUAGCUCUCCGCGACAAUAACGAGAACUGUAACACAUCCUCUUUCUCCGCUUUCGCCCUCCACCUUCACUACAGCGGAUUUUAUACCCACCAAAUAAACUCGUCGUCCCCACUGCCGCUGCCGGCGAGAAAGAGGAACUACUUUUCGGGGCCGAGAAGCUCGCCGGUGAGGGAAGGAGCACGCGGCCCACCCACCUACCCCAGAAGGCGGCGGCGAGCGCGGCCUCAACAAUAUCAGAGGCGAGGAGGACGAGAAAUGCACGGAAGAAUCUCUGGAUUAGCACUUUUAUUUUUUUUUCAAAAAAAAAAACUAAAAGGCUAAAAACUAGAGAAUAAUAAGGAAAACAAGAGAAGAAGGAAGAAGAAAAUGAAUUUGCACUGUUAAGAUUAAAUUACACUGUUUUAAAAGAACGUUACACUAUUAUGGACAUAAGUUGCACUAUUUUAAAUAUAAAAUGCACCCUUUAAAAUAAAAAUUACACUCUUUAAACAAAAGUUGCACUCUUUAAGAGAUAUUUAUACUGUUUCUCCUCUUGUUGCACUCUUUAAGAGAAAAUAUUUACACUAGUUUUUCUCUUGUUGCACUAUUUCUUCUCUUGUUGCACUAUUUCUCCUGUUAAAGGGUGCAAUUUACACAUCAACACAUUAAAGGAGAAAUAGUACAACAAGAGAAGAAAUAAUGUAAUAAGAAAAGAAAUAGUAUAAAUAUCUACUCUUAAAGAGUGCAACAAGAGGAGAAAUAGUAAAAAUAUCUCUCAAAGAGUACAGCUUUCGUUUAAAAAGUGUAACUUUCAUCUUAAAAGGCAAUUUACAUUUAAAAGAGUGUAACUGACAUCCAUAAUAGUGUAACAUUCUUUUAAAACAGUGCAAUUUAAUCUUAACAGUGCAGAUUCAUUUUCUUCUUCCUUCUUCUCUGAUUUUCUUUAUUAUUCUCUAGUUUUUUGCAUUUUAGUUAUUUUUUUUGUUUUAAACAAACAAAAGUGCUAAUAUAGAGAUGCUCCCGUGCAUUCCUCGCCGUCUUCUCGCCUCCGACACCAUCGAGGCCGCGCUCGUUGCCGCCCUCUGGGGUAGGCUGGUGGGCCGCGUGUCCCCUCCCUCGCCGGUGAGCUUCUCGACGCUGAGAAGUGCUUUCUCUUUAUCGUCAACGGCGGUGGUGAAAACGUGAGUUCCUAUAAAUGAGUUUGGUUGGUGCAAAAUUCGCUGCAGUGGAGGUGGAGGGCGAAGGCGGAGGAAGAGGACGCGUUACCAUUCUCGUUAUCGUCGCGGAGAGCCGUAGAGGAGGGUCGAAGAAAAAAAAAAAAAAAGAGUGUCGCAGCGCGGCCUUAGCGAGGUCGGAGGCGAGUAGGGCGAGGGGUGCGUGGGCGAGGGUGAGGGCGAGGGCGUGAAGUGCAGAGACGAUGGGGCCAUUUCCGCAUUCGCCUCCGCCGCCUUCUUCGGCGAGAAUAAAGAAGAACGCGAGAAAAANAAAGAAGAACGCGAGAAAAAAAAAAAAAAAAGGAGAGAAAAAAAGGUAUAAGAAAAUUUUGAUCAGUUAACUAAAAAUUCGGACCGAAUCUGAAAAAUCGAAAAAAGUGGCACACUUUUGCAAAAGCGCAAAAUUAAUGGAUUUUUUAUACAAAUUGGCCAUAUAUUUUUACAAAGAUCAUAUAUAUUGUUUCUACAAUAAUUCUGAUAUUUUCAAAUGUCCAUGUCAUUAGAAUCCGUUAUAAAAUUUUUGUUAACUAUUUGUUAAAUACUUAAUGCUGAUUAGUUUUUGAUAUUUUUACUCUUAUAUUUUACUGUUAUAAGUUUUGGAGGAAUAUAUUUGUAAUUACAAAUUUGAAAAUAUAAAUAGUUCUCUUAGGUAUCAUUUGGUUCGGCGGUAAGCAAAAAAUGGAUAUUUCAGGAAAAAGUAUAAAUUGAGAUACAAGCGGGGAUUAGAUCAAUUUUGCGUUUAGAUGAAAAUUAGGUUAUUCCUGCGAAUAAAAAAAAACAGCAUUUGGUUAGAUAAGCUGGAAUAAGAAGUAUAAUAUUGAGUUUUUAUAAAUAAAAAAUAAUGAUAUUAUCCUCUUAUUAUAUUUGAAUUUAAAUUUUUAAAAUUUUAAAUUUAUAUUUUUAAAUUUAAAANUAAUAAAAAUAAUGUAUUAUAAUAUAUAAUAUAUUAUAUUUAUAUAAUUUAGUUUUAAUUCAAUUUAUAAUUUUAAUUAAGUUUGAAAUUAAGUAUUGGAAUAACACUAUUCCACCAAAAUGGUGGAAUAGCAAAUUUUCUUGCUAUUCGGGGAUAAUCGGAAAUAACAAGAUUUGACCGGAAUAAAAUAUCCCGGUAAAAUAUCACCCCGUUUUGCGGAAUAGUCGGGAUAACUUUCGUUAUCCCCGCUUAUCCCCCGAACCAAACGGGGCCAAACGGUAAUAAAUCAAAGGAAUAUAUUUAAAAAUAUCAGAACUUUUGUAGGGACAACGUAUAAAAAUUGAACUUUGUAGGGGUAUAUUUGCCAUUUACUAUGUUAGCAUGAACCUGUAUGAAAUUAAUCUUUUUUUUAUAGGUUAAUUAUAUACAGAUCUCUACAAAUAUUAUGAGUUACAAACAUAUUUAUGCAAAGUUCAAUUUUCAUAUGUUGUUUUAUAAAAGUCUUGAUACUUUUAAAUAUGUUCCUAUCGUUAGAAUCCGUUAGAAUAAUUUAGCUAAAUAUAGGUUAAAUACUAACCUCUGGUUAGCUAAUGAAGUGAAUUGACCUUUUUAUUCCUCUUCAAUUGACAUUUGAGACUUUUAGAGGAAAAUUUUUGUGAUAACAAAAAAAUCAUUUCACUUAUAAAAUAGACAGUAUUUUUCCAAUAAUAAACCAAAGGGACAGAUUUGAAAACACUUAGAUUUUUGAAAAAAUAAUAUAUGAAAGUUGAACUUUGUGACAAUAUAUUUGUAAUUUAUUAUAUUUGCAGGACCGGUGUUAAAUUAACUUUUUUUUAUAAUUAUUUAUUAUCCUUUAUAUUAUUGUUGUUUUCUUUUUUUAAUUUACUUUUAGUUUGAUUUCUAAUUUUGGAGUUACCAAUCCAUGUCCGUAUUAGUGUGCCCCACACACGGAAUUGUUUCAGUUAGCAGCGGAGCUUAAUUAUAACGGGUCGGAUGUGAAAAAUACCCUUUAAGGGAUCAAAUUAGUCAAUUUAUGUUGGAUCUAAGGUGCACAUUUUUUAACAGAAGCUCUACAAAUGAGUCAACAUGUGCCCGUCAUCGAGCAUUAAUAGAUUUGUAUCGACGUGCCACCCAUUUUUCUCGCCGAGUUGACGAAAAGAUAGAGUCAGGCUAUGUCAGGUUUGAAUGCUCGUUGGAACCACACUCACUUGAGGACAAAUCAGAGUUCUUAUCGGCAUGCCACGUGGCCAAGAAGUUGACUUUAAGAUUGAUGCAUGUACUGUUCAGUUUUGAAACGCAUUUAACAAAAAAUAAGUAAGUUUGUAAUUGAUGCAAGUACAAUUCAGCUGUGAAACACAUUUAACAAAAAUACAAACAUUUGUUUUGGAAUCGAAUGCGAUGGCCAUAAAUACUCGAGAUGUGCCAUCUAGUGGUAGACAAUUUUUUGAAGAACAUUUCUUUUAAACGGCAGAUAUCAACCAUUAAAAAUUAAUAAUUUUGAAUCCUUUCGAUUGCUAGAUAAAUAAUAUCGAAAAUCGUAAAAAUUAUUUUUUAGAAACUUCAAAUACGUUAGAUCAAGUCUAACGGGACCGAUUUUUGAUUCGAAAAUUUCAUCAUCGAAAACAGCUCUAAAAGUACAGCAGUCCUGCUAUAUAUAUAUAUAUAUAUAUAUAUAUAUAUAUAUAUAUAUANNNNNNNNNNNNNNNNNNNNNNNNNNNNNNNNNNNNNNNNNNNNNNNNNNNNNNNNNNNNNNNNNNNNNNNNNNNNNNNNNNNNNNNNNNNNNNNNNNNNGCGUUAAUAUCCAUUGUUUCGAUGAUAGAGCUAUUUCAAAUUACGAUCGGCUCCGUUAAAUAUGAUCUAAACCAUUUAAACUACCUAGAAAUCAAAUUCACGCACUUUGAUGAUUGUUCUUUUAUCCAUCAAGUGAACAGAAAAAUGAUGGCUAAAAGAAUAUUCUAUAAAAAAUGAUGAUAGGGUCUUGUAAUCAAGAUCAAAGAGUUAAGUUUGUUUUAAAAAGUUUAAAGAAUUUUCUAACAAAAUUCAAUUGAUAUUGGAUAUCUUACGCGUUAAACGAAAACGCUCUUACUGACCAUUAAAAUUCAAAAUUUGAAACAUUUUAAUCUUAGAAAUGAUGUCGAAAGAUUUGAAUUUAAUUUCUAAACACUUCAAGUGGUAUAGAUCAUGUUACACGGAGCUGAUCGUCAAUUGUGAACCUAUCAUCGAAAAUAAAUAGAUAAUAAAACGCUCGUUAUACUGAUAGUAUUCUAGCACAACUAUUAUAUUAUAUAUAUAUAUAUAUAUAUAUAUUAUAUAUAUAUAUAUGAGUCGGCACUAUUAUCAUAGUGUGUUUCGAUGAUAAAACUUCCGAAACGACGACUCUACAGUAAACAGUUUACUUAGAGCAUUUAAACUUCUAGAAUCAAGUUCUAAUUUUUUCGACAUAAUUUACCUUAUGAUCAAAAGCUCACAAAAUUGACAAUUUUUAAUGGGCGGUAUGUGAUACUGCUAGUUUAACGGUUGGAAAAGAAUGCGAAUAGGUUGAAUUUUUGUUAGAAAUUCUAUCGACUAUCACUACCUAGAUAAAGAUCAAUAACUCCGAUCUUAAAUUGAAGGAUCCGAUCAUCCAUUUUUAGGAUGUCGUUCGAUUUUGACCGUUCAUUUUACACCCGCUUAAUUUUUUUUCCAAUAUCUCUUCCCUUUCUCAUUCUAACAACCGAUCAAAUUUGAUGGGUAGUUAGAAAGUUAGGAGCACAAAGACUGCUGUGCUCCUAAUAACACAGUAUAUAUAUAUAUAUAUAGCUAUUCUUCUAUAUUAUCUAUAGUACCGGGGCUCCGGUACUAUAGUCUCGUUUUCGAUUUUAGGGUGUUCAAAUCAACGAUCCACACUGUUAAAACUGAUUUAGAAUAUUUAAAAUUUUUAGAAAUAAAUUUUUAUAUUUUUUCGACAUAGUUUACUUUAUUAUCAAACUAUUUAAAAAUUGUCAAUUUUCAAUGACUACUACGGCGAGUUUGGAGUUUAACGGUAUAGAAGAAUCUAAAUUUCUUCAAAUUUUGAUAGAAAAUACUUUAAACUAUCUAGAUUAAGGUUAACAUUCUUGAUCUUAAAUUUAAAAGUUCUAUACUCAAAUUUUAAAAAUUAUUCAAUUUCCACCGUCCAUUUUGAUAUAAUUUAUUUACUAAAUAAACUAUAUCGUAUUUAACGGUGUGGAUCAUUAAUUUGAACACCCUAAAAUUGAAAACAAGACUAUAGUAUCGAAACUCUGCUACUAUUUUUCUGAAAUUUAACUCAAUUUUCAAACCACAGAAUUAAUAUCACCGCACUCGCAAAAUUUAUUUUUUCUGGUGGGAUUUGGCCGUAAAAAAUAUAAUACUUAUUUCUCGAAAAGAUUGACUCGAUAUUUAUAAUUUGAUAAGAUAACAUGUUUCGCCUAAAUAAUUAAGACACAAUUUGAAUUCGUGAAUUUCUUAUUUAGUAUAUCUAUUUAAUUGGCUAAAAUAUUUUGCAUUAAACAUCAAAAAUGGCACACCAACUUUUUAAAUUAUUUUUUUUCCGAAAUAAAUUAUAUUGUGGGUAAAAUAUGUCGUCCUUUCCAAUCAAACUUUUAUUAACGGUUUAUUUUGAAAACAAUUAUCGUUGCAAUAUUUUUAUUAAUAGAAUAUAAGGCCUUAAUAACAUUUUCACAUUCGCCCAAAUUUGUUCUACAGUUUAGUUGCACUUCGCGUCAAUCCAAUUGGCUCUCAUUAGCCCACCCGCCCCGCAGACAAGCGGGUCGGUUUUAAUAUCUCGUCACCUUUUUGGGACCCGAAUCCGGUGGGGAAGGGGUGAGGUGGGGCCCACCACGCUGGCUCAGGGUGGGGGAGGGGCCCGCUCAACCGUUACUCGCGUCCUCGCGCGCCACCCGCGCGCCACGUGGACACAGCGAGCGUGGCAAUUGGACAACGCGUGGCAGUGGUGGGCCCCACCCUCACUCACGCAUUCCACCCCGGUACACUACUACUAACUAGCACUACUCUUUUUGUAGUUUAUUUAUUUUUAUAUUAUUAAUUAUAUUAUUAUUAUUAUACGUUACAAUUAUAGUUUAUAUUUUAAAUUUUUUUAAAAAAAAUUUUAAUGCAGUAAAUCAAACAAGUACACUUAUGUGUAGGGAUGCAAACGGGGCGGAUCUGGGGGCGGAAGAGUUCCCCCACCUCCCGCUCCAUUUCUUAUCUGUGCGGGGCGGAUUCGGGGCGAGUUACUUUUCAUUUUAUUUUGGCUCCCACUUACCGUUCCAUUCAGGGCGGAGCGGGGCGGGAGCAGGACGAGAGCGGGGCGGGAGCGGAUUUUUAACGAAUCGAGAUAGAUUGAAGGAAGAAAAGAGUCUCCCGCCUCCCGCUCCAUUUACUUGGCGGAUCGGGGCGGAUUCGGGGCGGGUUAUAUUUUUCUAUAUUUUUUGUUCCCAUUUACCACCUCAUUAGGGGCGGAUCGGGGCAGAGCUCCACCAACCCGGAUCCAUUUGCAUCCCUACUUAUGUGGCUUAGCAAGGGCAACUCUUUAGAUAGAAAAAUGUCGGAUGAACCCGGUGUAUACACCGGGGAUAACUAAAACAUAAACCUGGAUUUAUAUCUUAAAAUUAUAUUUCUUAUCGAUCUUAAAUUUACAAUAACUCGAUGCCCACUAGUAAGUUCCCAAAAAUCAUUGAUUUUAAUGGAAUAUUUAGUUUCACCGAUAAAGCAUAAUUCUCUUUUUUCAAAUGCCGUCGAAAAAUGUUAUUAGAAAAAACACUGUUAUUAAAUUUUUCCACCAACUCCUUAUUGUAGCAGAAUAAAAAAUUCUAAAUGAAAUCUUCUACUUUUGAAUCAAAUUUUAAUUUUUUUAAUUAGUACUAAACAAAUAGUUUUGUAAUUUAUUACUUAAAUUUAAGAAAAAAAUCACUUUAGGUUCUAAUUCUAUUUUAUCAAAUGUUGCCAAAAAAAUGAUAUUGGAAGAAACACUAUUAUUAAAUUUUUCGAUCAACUCCUUAUUGUACUAGAAUCAAGAAAUUCUAAAUUAAAACUUCUACUUUUUAACUGCAUUUUAAUUUAUUUAAUUACUACUAAAGCAAAAGUUUUUGUAAUCUUAUUACAUAAAUUGACAAAAAAAAAAGGCAUACUUUAUGUUCCAAUAAAAUCAGAAAGUUUGAAUUUUAAGAUUUUAAUAUAUGAACCAUAGUUAGUUAAUUCGGAUUCAGCAAAAAUUCGGUACGGAUAUAAUUCGGAUAAAAUGCGUCUUCUAAUUUUUAAAUUCGUUGAAAAAUACGGCUAAAAAACGGAUUCGGUAAUUAUUCGGAUACGUGAUUUAUAUGGAUAUUACAUGUUCAUCAAUUAAAAAUUCGGGAUCAAAAAUUCGACUAUUAAAUUAAUUUUUUUUCUCUCAAAAUUUAUGCUAUUAGUAUAAAUACUCAUAUUUCUUAAAAAUAUAAGAAUAAAGAGCUACAAAAUUAAGCUAAUUAAAUAAAAAAAAAAUAGCAAACUAUAUUAUCCUUAUAAAUAAAAUAUUAUAUAAUAAUAUUUUUAUAUAAAAAUAGAAUACUAUAUAUAAUAAAUAAAUAUAUAUUUAUAAAUAAAAUUAUAUAUACAUAUAUAGAGUCCGGCUACGGUGCUUGUAAAAGCACCAAGUAUUUGGUGCUUGUAAAUUUUUUACCGUUAGAUCUACUUCUCUAAUCAUUUUUAACCAUUAGAUUAUACUAUUCAACCAACCACCCACUCAACCCUAGGGGGCCCACAUGAUCCUAAACGCACAUCCCUUAAUUCANACCGUGCACCAUCUUCUUCUCCUAACGCCGCGAUUUUCCAAUACCCAAACACCGUGCCAGUGCCAUUUCUAUCGCCAGCUCCCAAGUCCCAAACUCAAUUUUUUUUUCCAAAAUUUAUAAAAUAAUUUAUUCAAAAAAAAAAUUUUGGACAACCAUUGUUUGGUAAAAAAAAUUUUCAGCGAAAAUUUUUUUUUCGAAAGGAUUUUACAGUGAUCCAAAGUUCUGCGACGAAAGCGACGGAGGAGGAGGAGGACGACGACGACAAUGGCAGCGACGACGCGACCCGCAAGUCCGUGACCGCCGUUUUUUUGGGCGAAUCAUUCGCGAAUCGUGAAUGGUUCGCGAAUAAUUAUUUUUGAUAGAAAAAAUGCGUUUUUUUACGCAUUUUUUGGAAAAAUGCGGAUGCGGGCGUUUAAUACAGUUUUCUAAAAAUUCGUGAAUAAUUCGUGAAUUAUACGCGAAUUAGCUAACUAAGAUAUGAACAAGUAUUGAUCAUCCAUGACAUCAGAAAAUUUAAUUUCUGCUUACGAUUCACUAAAUGAGGCGCGUCUCAUCAUCAUCUUUUUAGAUUAAAAAAUAACGUAAGAUAACAUUUCUGAAGUGCUGAUUUACGAAUUUAAAAAUAUAAAAUAUAAUAAAUAAAAAUAUAGAACGCAGCGGAAGUAUUCGUUCGUACCUUUUUGCGGAAGCGAUUCGCGUUACAACUCGAUGAGCUCGGAUCGUCGAGGUUGAUUCGCGUGUCCUUUGAUCUUCCUUGAUUAAAUCUUUUCACGUUCCAAACUUGUGAUGGAUCGAACUAUAAACGAGCACGAUCACAAAUACACCGUUCAAGUCCCUCUUAGAAUAAUAGGUUGAUGGAGGAUGUGGUUUCUCUAUUUCGUUUUUUUAUUCUCUUUUCUUUUUCCAUUCUGGUUUCUCUCUUUCGUUUUCUUAUUCUCUUUUCUUUUUCCGUUCUUUUUCCUUUUGUUAUGUGGGAUCGCCCAUAUAUUUAUAAGGAAUUCCAAAAUCCUAAUAGCGUUAGAGAUAAGGUCAAAUCAGUUAUUAAUUAUUAUCCUAAUAUGACUAGAAUUUAUCUCUAACUAGUUUUUCAAUUUGAAAGCGAGAUUAAUUCCAAUCCAAUUAGAUAACAUAAUAUCCGUCAGAUCGAAUCCGCUUAUAGGCGUACCCGAUUCGAUUUAACCUAAUGCCAACAAAAAAUAGAAAAAAACAAAAAAACAAAAAAUUGGGUGUAUAGAAAUUGGUGCAAGCAAUAAUUUGUUAGAGCCCGCGUGCUUUCCCCGCACUCCCAUUCCCACUCAUUUUCCCCAUUUGUACCCGUUUCUUAUACUCCUUUUUUUUUUUUUUUUUCGCUCUUUCCUUUAAUUCCACCAACCUCUCACAAUAUAUAUGCAUGCCAUAUCCCUUCUAGAUAUAGACCACCAUAUAUAUAUAUAUUAAUAUAAAUAGUUAUAUUCCACCCUCUAUAUAUAACACUCGAUCCCUGUCUCUCAAUACACACUACAUAUAUAUACAUCUCUCUCUCUCUCUCUCUCUCUCUCUCUCUCUCGAUCUCGAGGAGUUAGACAUGGGAUCAGAGGCUGUGGAGGAGGUGCAUCAUGAUGAGAUCAACGGCUACGGUAACGGCGGAGCCAAGGAGCUGGGCGAAGAGGAAUGCAAAUGGUUCGAGGAAGAGAUCGACAAGGAUCUCAAGUUGUGCUACGCUUUGAACAGGUGAUGAAACUAACCCAUGCAUGCACCAUCUCUAUCUACCUCUCUCCUUGUUUCCGAUGAGCUUCGCAUCACGCACGUGCGCAUCUUGUUCUAGAUCUCUUGUGUUACCUCCCCUCGUGUUAAGACUAUUUCUGAACUGUUUGGAUCGGUCUUUUCGGUAACACGUCUUUUCUUUGUAUACGUUCGAACGAAUUUAACUCAGAAUUAAUGUUGUUCUUAUAUGUUAUCGUUUGCGAUGCUACAUAGCGUGCUAUGCAAAGGGGCUAGUGAGUAUCAAGAUAUAGCUUUCCUUGAUACGAAAUACUUCGGAAAGGUCAGUUUCUUUCCUCUUCUUCCUUUUUUUUUUUAUUCUUCUUUAAUCAUAUUUUAUUUUAAUCAUGAUAUUAUUUAUUUUAUUUUAUUUUUACAAAUUUUUUGUAGGCUUUGGUGCUUGAUGGGAAGAUGCAGAGCACUGAGGUGGAUGAGUUCAUUUACCAUGAGUGCUUAAUCCACCCUUCUCUUCUCCUCCACCCCAAGUAAAUCCACUUCCUUUAUUAUUAUUAUUAUUAUUAUUAUUAUUAUUAUUAUGAAGGUAAACUUCAAAUAUCACUCACUGGAUUCAUACUUUUUCACUUUUACCCUAUAAUAUAAAGUAUAUCAUUUUAAUAUUAUAUAGUUUUAUUUUUCUCUUUCCGUCACCACUUUCGUUAACUUUCCGUUAAAUUAUAUACAAAAAAAACUUCAGAUAUCCACCUAUAAUUUAUUAAAUGUUCAAUUUAGUACCUUAUGGCUUACCGAAUCUUUAUUUUAGAAUAUUGUGGUUUUAAUUUUAUUAUUGAUAUAACGGAAAAAUUAACGAAAAGGAUAACGAAAAAAAAAAAAAGCGAAGCUAUAGAGUACUAAAGUGAUAUAUUUUAAACUAUAUGGUAUUAAAGUGAGAAAGUGUGAAACUAUAGGAGUGGUAUUUAAAGUUUUUCUUUAUUAUUACAACUAUUAUUAUUAUUUCCAAGACUAAUUAAUUCUUUCUCUAUAUAUAGUAGUCGCACAAUAUGUGUGUGUCUGUUUUGUCGUUACGCCAAUUUCUUUUCCACUAUUAUUAAUUAGUACAUGAAUUCAAAGUUAAUUAAUUAAUUAUUAAUUAAUUAACCCGAUCUCAUUUUAAUAUUAAUUUAAUGUAGUCCAAAAAUGGUGUUUAUUAUGGGCGGUGGAGAGGGCUCCGCCGCGAGAGAAGUACUCAAGCACAACACCAUCCAACGUGUGGUCAUGUGCGACAUAGACCAGGUGCCCUUUUUCUCUUUUUAUAUAUAUUUUGGGAAUGUCUAGUUUCCUCUUCUGUUCCUUCUUUGUUGUUCAAAAGGUGGACUUUCNAUAUAUAUAUAUAGUUCCAAUUAUAAUUCUUAAAAAAAAGGAAUUAUCACUGCAUGUUACUUAAAAAUCGAUAAUUAUUUACUUACGCAGAUGUGACAAAUAUUAUUACUUCUCUUUGACAAUUGUGAAUAUUACGAUUUUCUCAAAUUAUAUAAAUUGUUUAUCGAGGCCAUCUCCACAAUAUAUAAGAUCGAUCGUCAAAUUCAACAUUUAUCACGUGGAGAUGAAUGGUAGAUUUUUUACGAUGGUCCUCAUAAAAGGUUUUUUUAGAUAAUUAUUGUAGAAUUUGAAAGCUUUUGCAAUUGUGAUUGCUAAGAUUAAAAAUAUAAGAUUAUUAAGAUGAUUAUUAUUAUUAUUAUUAUUAUUAUUAUUAUUAUUAUUAUUAUAAGGAUUAUUAACUCGCUCGUACGUUACGUUUACACGUGCCAACACAUCGUGACACGUGUGAGCGUGUGUGGACAAUGCAGGAUGUGGUGGACUUUUGUCGGAUGUACUUGACGGCCAACCACGAGGCCUUCGCAAGUGACAGGCUCUGCCUCGUCAUCAACGACGCAAAGUACGUGGAUUUAAAUUUGAAUUUAAAUUUAAAUUUUGAGUUUAAACGUUUCAUGUUUUUAUUUGAAUUCAAAUUUUUUAUGUUCAUGGUACCGAGUCAAAAAAAAAAAAUUCCCCUUUUUGUUUUGGCGGAGAGGGUUUCAAGCCCCGAAAAUCGUAGAUUCGAACUCAAAAUUUCGAAUUCUGCACCUGAAUAGCUUACACACCUAGCUAGGUUCAAAUUCGAGUGGGAAUGUUUAGUUGUUGUUUUAUAUGUGGUGAUUAAUAACAUGCAUGCAUAGAUUACAAUUUUUGGGUACUAUUUUACGAUAUAGAUGGUCCGAAAUCUCCUAACAUAUUAAUGAAUUAAAUUCAUUUUUAUUAAUUUUGUAAGGUACCAUCUUCUAUCAUGCUGAUUUUUGGGUAUAUUAAUAUUUACACUCGUGUUUUCCGUCGUGUUGAUAUUUGGGUAUAUGUUAAGCUAUAUAAAACAAUCAUAAUAUAUUUAUAUUCAAUACUCUUUCUCACAAGUAAGGUUCGAGACUUUUUUAUUACUCUAAGACGUGAGCUCAAUUUAAAUAAAAGAAAAUUAAAUAAGACGAGAGACCUGACGUGACUCAAACUCAUAAUCUUUUAUUUUGAAACCAUGUUAAAAUAUAAAGUAACAAUUGUUCCCUAGAAUCUUAAGUUACUGUAGAUUGAUGUUUUAUAUUUUUAUAAGCGACAGUGCAUGACACUAUCGAAUUUCUACAUUUGUAGGUUUUUGAGUUCUUGAUUACAAGGUGAAAAUGUUUACAAAUUCUGAGUAGGAAUUGAUUAUGAAAUAUUGCAAUGUGAAUAGUUUCUACACCAGUAACUCGGAGUCGAAUUGAGGACUCUUUUUCGACUCUUUUUUCGUGUUUAUUUCGCUACCAUUUUGGUCAAUCAAAAGUGCACAACAUUACAGGAAGGAGUUGGAGAACAGGGAGGAGAAGUACGACGUGAUCGUCGGCGACCUCGCUGACCCCGUCGAAGGCGGGCCGUGUUACCAGCUCUACACCAAAUCCUUCUAUGAAAAUGUGAUCAAGCCCAAGCUCAACUACCAAGGCAUAUUUGUCACCCAAGUAAUUAAUUAAACAUCUUAAUUCAUCAAUUAUAAAAGUAAUGCAUAUUUAUUCAUGCAUAUCUCUCUAAAUUUGAACUUACAUGUUGUUCACUGAAUAUUUGUGUAGGCUGGGCCAGCUGGUGUUCUCACUCACAAGGAGGUUUUCUCAUCCAUAUACAACACCCUGAAGCAUGUAUUCAAAUGUGAGUAUUCUCAUCUGAAGAUAAAUUAGUUCUUUGAGUGUUACAAAUAGUUAUAGCAUUGUGUUGUUAAUAUUGCCGACGAAGAGUAAUGAUUUGUAUAACCCUAACCAUACUUGCAAGUUUCGAUAAUCAUUCGGCAUGCGACAAAAGAACACAAAAGAGUACGUACCGAUUCGUGGUGGCUUUUCGAUCCAGAUCAUGAGAAGUAGAGAACGGCAAUAGUAAUUCUUCGAGAUAUAAUUUGUUUAGUUACUCGAAAGAUCAAAUGUGUUUUACUAGAUAGAAUAACACAAAAGAGUCAUUCUCGUUUGGAAAAAAGUUGGGGCGGUUGUGAUUAGAAGAGAGAAUAUCCAAUACAACCUUAAUGAAGAAAGAAAGAAAGAAAGAAAGAAAUAUCCAAUAAAAAAAAGUUUUUAAGUUUUUCACUUUUUAAACGAACUACAUUCCGAAAUAACAUUUCCGACUAAUUCCACCGACUUCAAAUCGCAAUCUUAAGAAACUAGCAAACCACGCUUCCGUACAUGUUCCACGCACCGCAGCAGACCCAAUUUUAGGUAACAAUUGAUCCUAUCUCUUUUCACCGUCACGAUGUAGAGAAAAAAUACAUAGAAGUGCUGUGAAUUUUUGUUUAAUAAUUUGCGCAGGAGUGAAUAAUUUAUUUGGCAAAUUAUCUGGCCAAUGUGUGGAAUCUUGUUACUAAGCCACUAAUGAUGCAGAUAUAAGAAGCUUUUUGCAUAGUAUAUAUUACUUACUAAGACAACCAAUAUCACCAACUAUGAGUUGCAGAUGUGCUUGCAUACACAGCUCAUGUUCCCUCUUUUGCUGAUACAUGGGGAUGGGUUAUGGUAAGUUAGCUAGUUCCACAAUACACAAAAUUGUUUAGAGAUUUACAUAAUCUGAAGAAUCAAUUAAUUGGUUUUUUUUCUUCUUUUUUUACCAGGCAUCUGAUCACCCAUUUACGCUUAACGCUGCGCAAAUUGAUGAAAGAAUCGAAGAUAGGAUCAACGGAGAACUGCUUUAUUUGAACGGCGACUCCCUCAUUUCCUCCACCACCAUGAACAAGAGUGUUCACCAAUCGUAAGUUUAUUCAUCUAUCAUUUUAGUUUUAAAUGAAGUACACAAGAUACAUUUACAUUUAUGUAGAUGGUAGAGAAAAGUUUCGGACAUACCGAAUUUGAUCAGCAUGGUAACAAGUUUCCCAGAUUUUUUUUUUUUUUUUUUUUUUUUGUAACAAAAAAUUUCUGUUCUUUAUUAUAUAACAUGAACUAAAGAUGGUACAAUAAAAGGGUUGGUUUGUUUUACCAUGCAGGUUGUUGAAGGAGACUCAUGUUUACACAGAGGAUGAUGCAAGAUUCAUCUAUGGACAUGGGAAGGCUUGUUAGGCUUAGUUUCUAUCUCUCUUUCUCUUUCUAGAAGAAGUUCAAUGAAAAACUUAAGAAGAAGAUCUAAUGUUGGCAUUCUUUACAUCUUUUACACAAGAACAGAAUAAAGAAAGUAAAAGUGUUGCUGACAAAGCCAUAUGAUAUGGAAACAGUGCAUUGUAAAAAUUAUGAUGAUAUGGUUUCUCUCCUCUCUUAUGUUUCAAAAGAAUGAUGAUGUGGCUCCUGCUCAUCUUGUUACAGGAUUUUUACCUUUCUCAAAUGAAUUAGUGGUUCGCGGGUUUGGAUGCAGGGUGCUUCAAAGCUGCCUUUUUUUUGAAAACUUUUUUUAAGUAUCAUUUUGAGGGUCUAGUUGAUGGAAAAGGUAUUGUGAGAUGCCACAGAUUGUUGGUGGUCAUUAUUCAUCAGGGAUCUCUUUCAUUAUGUAUGCAUAUAAAGUUGCGCCGGAAUACUAUUAAUAUAUAGUAUAAUACUAUCCACUUUGACGAUUGAGUUUUGAAAUCAACAUUCGGUACUGUGCUACCUAGAGCAAGUGGCAAAGGGUUUGGUGGUUGGUAUCCGAGACCCCAGUUCGAAUCCUAGUUGAUUCAUAUUUCUAGCUAAAUUUAUUUCUAAAUGAAAUAAACGAAACGAGCAUCGUGCUACCUAUCUCUUUCAAAAAAAUAAUAAUAAUAAUAAUAAUAAUAAUAAUCGGUACUGUUGAAUAUGAUCUAGAACACUUGAAGUAUCUAGAAAUUAAAUUUUAUAUUUUUUCGGCAUAACUGACAUAAUGAUCAAAGAAAUGCAAAAUUUAUAAUUUUAGUGAUUGUUGUGAGCCAUUUGCUAACAAUGUAAAAAAAUUUAAAUCAGUUAAAUUUUUGUUGUAAAGUUCUUUAAACUAUUUAAAACAAAAUAUAUACUGUUGAUGUUGAUUACAAAAAUCCUUCCAUCACUUUAGAACGGUAUUUAUCUUUAACUGUUCAUUUUUGUGCCCACUUGAUGCACAAAUAAAUAAUAUCGAAAAAAAUAUAAAUUUUGAUUUUUAAAUAUUUCAAAUAGCCUAGACGAUGCUGAUAGUCGACUUCGGAGGCUUCAUCAUCAAAAAUAAAUCGAUAGUAGUAAAACUUGUUUAUUACCAAUAAUAUUCUAGCUCAACACCAUAAAUAUAUUUAUGUGUUGAAUACGUGUAUGUUAUAUAUGUAUUUGCGCGUGUGUAUACGUAUAUAUCUAGCCAUCAUAUACAAUUUGGAGGACGACUGUGGUAAGUUCUUUAUUGCACCUGGUUACCACACUUCAAUCCUUUCAGUAGAACAAAGCCAAAACAUGCACAUGCAUGCAUGUAUAAGGCUACAUAAUAUAAGCAUGUUUAUAAUGCUAUAUAAUAUAAGCAUGUUUACUUGCAUUAUAUAUAGUUUAUCUUCCGAAUUAAGGUCGGUACUAAAGUAACUUAUGCGCAUAUAGAGAUCCUCAUCAGGGCCACAUAGUUAGAGACUCGUAGUCGAAUCAUACCUAUACCCAUUUUCCUUUUCUAAAUUACAUGAAGACGUAAAGUAAAUUAUAUUGAAAACCAUAUUCAUUUUGGUAUAGCCACAUAAAUAGGUGAGAUACAUUAGAUAUACCAACAAGAAGCUCAUGAGAAAAUUGCAGAAGAUUGGAUUGGAGAUGCUCACACUACUAGCAUGCAGGGAGAAGACGAUGUUAGAGUUCAUAUACAUAACAAUAGAUUGUACACAAGCGGGCUGUAUACGACAUCUCAUAGUUCGGUUCCUUCACCUUACAUAGAUCAUAGGAAUCCAGAACCACUUCCCUGUACAAUUUUCCCGCUAUGGCCCGAAAACUUGCUUGGCUUGAUUUCAAUUCCGGUUUGUGAGUGCAUCUCGGCGAGUUCUCGAACACGCAACAGGAUGGGCGUUGGAAUUGGUAUCGAUGUAUGUUUUCUGGAGAACUUGUCCUGCAAAUGUAUCCAAAAAUGGAAGAGAAAGGGAUCAGAAGUCAUUAAAAAAAAAUAUUCUGCAACUUAACAGCUGGAAAGUCGAGUACUAGGCACCUAUAAUUUUGAUGGAUAUGAUAUUGCAAAUUAAGAAGAUCCAUUUAUCCAAUUGCUACCAGUAAAUAGAGAUCAGUUGUUUUUUAGAGAUUGAAAAUAGGAUAAAAAUAAAGUUAAAGAAACAAUUGAAUAUCUCACCUCUUUCUCAUUAGGAACCUGCGACAAGCUUGCUCUAAGGAGAUUCCGCCACUUAUCCUGGAUACAGUAAAAACAUUGUCACAGCUUGCAUUAUUAACGCAUUAACGCAAUCACUAGAAAUACAAUAUGCAUUAGUGCCAAAAACUGAUUCGAGGAAAUAUUUAUGGUAGAAUGUAAGGAUAGUCCCAGUAGUGUUCCAAUGAGAAAAUAAAAAUAAUGUGAAAUAUUGAAAUCAGUAUGAUAAGAAAAUCAAUAUAUGAUCAAGCUCGCCUUGAGAUCAACAGAGGUGCGAUAUGAAUAUGAGGCAAAGGCUAGUCGCCUGAUCUCAGACCACCUUCCAGCCCCAAACUUGGCCACUCCCUCAACUAACUUGAGAACCUCGCAGAGCGUCCAAGCACGGUGGUGCUUUCUCUUUGGACCACCCUUCAGAGCUGGCCGAGCAUCAGCAUUAUCAUUUGUAUUUUCUUCGGCUGUGUCGAACUUAAAGGUAUCCAUACAUGACUCCUCCUCACUAUCGGGUUUUUGUGCAUUCUCUGUAUCUCUUUUCUUAUCAACAAUGCUCUGAACAGUCAGAAAUACCAUAUUAAAGCAUCAACUGACAAAUCAGCAUCCUAGUAAUCAGAACAAACUUAGGCCAUGCUGAAGUAGCAACUAACGAUAUUCGUGAAUUCUGAAUUACCAAGCAAUUUGGCAACACCAAAGUUGGUGAAUUGGAUGGAAGUCUAAUUUACUAUUCAUUGGUUCCCCUGUUUGCAGAUUUGUAAUUCAUGAUUUUUAGAGAUUAUAUUGAUUAUUUAGAUGGGUUUCAAAAAGUAUAAGCAAAUUGGAUGAUUUGACUUUCAAUUUGCUGUAUUUCAGCUUUCUCAAAGACGAGAAAAUUUAUCCAUCCAAAAAUACCCUUUUCUGAUUGCCAUGGAAUCUAAACAAGACUAUGUUUAAACAGGGAAACAAACAAUAGAACUCAAUCCAAUCAUACUCCAUUCCAAACAAUAUAUCUCCACCCCAAAGUCAAUUCACUUGAAUUUCUUGAAUUGCAUCGUAAAGAAAAACCAAUUGAAUUGCCAAGUAAUAUUCAAUUAAUCUUUAUUUGGUACCAAACAGAGUGAAACAUUAACUUAC